GUACAGCUGGGAGGGAGGCGGAGGGGAAACUCAGGGGCCUCGGAGGGAGAACACGUUCACUCCCCAUACACCCCCCCCCCCCAGACACACACGCCACUGUGUUGGCACCUGUGCAUCUCUAUCCGGCCGGGGCUCCACCCCCUCCCACAAUCCCACAGGCAUGCUCCCCCGCCCUUCUCCCCCGCCCUUCUCUCUCUCGCUCUCAUUGGCCAGCUGGCCGGCCUGCCUUGGUCAUGGGGCUGGUCUGGAGCCGGGCGUUCUCCUCCAGGAGCCGCAGGAAGGCAGACUCGCAGGGAUCUGGCUGCUCCUUCCUCGCUCUCCGGCCGAAGAAGAACAAAGCAGCCGCCUCCGGGGUUGGACUCUGGUUUGGAAUCAGCAGAGCGAUCUGCGCAGGAAUCCGGACCUGGCUGCUUCUCUUUGUCGCAAUCCGGGCCUCACUUGCCAGACCGGCCCCUCGACUGACCAAAUGACCAACUCAAAAACUGCACGAACAUCGUUUUAGUUCCCGCUUUGCAACAAAUCUCUCAUCAGAGCCUCAAUUCGACACAAUUUGCGGCCACCAAAGAGCAGAGCAACUACUUGCAAAGCGAGGAUGGCACAAUUAAAAAGGAAAGAAUACUUACAAACCAAAUCAAAGAUUGCACGUACCUAUCUAUCUAUCCAGGUCAGAAGUCGGCUCCCUCUGACCUCCCUCUGGAAGAACCGCCCAAGGGCCAGCUACGUUCCCGGUCUUUUAUUUCGCAAGAGUAUUCUCUGAUUAUUUUACGACUGAAGCCUUUGGCCUGCCUUGGGAAGCGGACGCCUAAACGUAGGACAAAUCUUGACUUCCAUAAUAAUGUUCAACCAAGACUUGUUCCCCCUCCACGGCAUUGAUUCCAUAAUACAGUAGAGUCUCACUUAUCCAAGCUAAACGGGCUGGCAGAAGCUUGGAUAAGCGAAUAUCUUGGAUUAUAACGAGGAAUUAAGGAAAAGCCUAUUAAACAUCAAAUUAGUUUAUGAUUUUACAAAUUAAGCGCCAAAACAUCAUGUUAUACAACAAAUUUGACGGAAAAAGUAGUUCAAUACGCAGUAAUGUUGUGUUGUAAUUACUGUAUUUAUGAAUUUAGCAACAAAAUAUCAUGAUAUAUUGAAAACAUUGACUACAAAAAUGGCUUGGAUAAUCCAGAACCUUGGAUAAGCGAGGCUUGGAUAAGUGAGACUCUACUGUAAUGUUCAAUCAAGACUUGUUCCCCCUCCACGGCACUGAUUCCAUAAUAAUGUUCAGCCAAGACUUGUUCCCCCUCCACGGCACUGAUUCCAUAAUAAUGUUCAACCAAGACUUGUUCCCCCUCCACGGCACUGAUUCCAUAAUAAUGUUCAGCCAAGACUUGUUCCCCCUCCACGGCACUGAUUCCAUAAUAAUGUUCAGCCAAGACUUGUUCCCCCUCCACGGCACUGAUUCCAUAAUAAUGUUCAACCAAGACUUGUUCCCCCUCCACGGCACUGAUUCCAUGCGAGCGUAGACUCCUGGCAGCUUAUCUCCCAUUCCUUCACCGCCAGGCAGGAAGACAGUUUGAUCCCUCCCAACAGAAUUCUAGAGUUGGAAGGGACCCCCAAAGAUCAUCUAGUCCAGGUUUAAUAAUAAUAAUAAUAAUAAUAAUAAUAAUAAUAAUAAUAAUAAUAAUAAUAAUAAAACUUUAUUUAUACCCCGCCACCAUCUCCCCAAUGGGGACUCGGGGCGGCUUACAUGGGGCCAUGCCCAAGUCAAGACAAUAUAGCAAAAUAUAAAAACAACAUAUCAUAAUACAAUUAAACAAUACAAUAAAGGUUUAGGCACACUUGGGCCCUCCCUGCAGGCGUUUUGGACUCCAACUCCCACCAUUCCUCACACACUGAGGGGAAUCCCAAAUGCCUGCAGGGAGGGCCCAAGUUGGCCCAUUCUGCCGUAAAGACACAACCGAAUCCUGACCGACAGAUGGCCCCACGUGGAACCAGAAUCACGGAAUGCUGGAAUCGCCCUAGAGGCCAUCGAAUCAUAAAA